AAUUAUAAUUAUUAUUAUCAAUUAAAUUAAUUUAAACUUUAACAAUAUUGUACAGGCAUUGAAUAAAACGCAAUAUUCAAUUUCAAAGGCCCCAUGACGAAUACUGCUCGAAACCCAAGAAGUCAUAUUGCAGACAAGGGCGCGUGCGCAAAGACACGUUCCAUCAAAAAACCAAAAGAGGGAGGAAUGCAUGGUGAGAAAAACAAAAUAUUUGUUUGUUUAAUUACAUGGACUAACAUCAACCUAUAACAUGGAAUCCGCUGUCUAAAUCUUUUCAUUGUUGUUUUCCUUUAGCAAUAAACCUAUAAAAGACCAUUUUUUACAGGCAGCUGUUGCCUUAAGAGGAUUAUUAAUGCUUGCGCGAUGUGUGCGCUUAAAAAAUA
rnacentral:sRNA from 1 species